rnacentral:rRNA from 1 species
UACAGAGGGUGCGAGCGUUGUUCGGAAUUAUUGGGCGUAAAGGGCGCGUAGGCGGUGCGGUAAGUCACCUGUGAAAUCUCCUGGCUCAACUGGGAGCUUGCAGGCGAAACUGCCGUGCUGGAGUGUGGGAGAGGUGAGUGGAAUUCCCGGUGUAGCGGUGAAAUGCGUAGAUAUCGGGGAGGAACACCUGUGGCGAAAAGCGGCUCACUGGACCACAACUGACGCUGAGGCGCGAAAGCUAGGGGGAGCAAACAGG